rnacentral:rRNA from 1 species
AUUGAACGCUGGCGGCAGGCCUAACACAUGCAAGUCGAGCGAGCGGCGGACGGGUGAGGAAUGUAUGGGGACUGCCCGCUAGAGGGGGCUCACUAAUUUAAACGGUGUCUUCUACCCCAUACUAUCGGAUAACCCAUAUUGGAUUAGCUAGUAGGUGGGGUAAAGGCUCCCCUUGGCGCCGAUCUCUAGCUGGUCUGAGAGGAUGAGCAGCCACACUGGGACUGAGACACGGCCCAGACUCCGACGGAGGCAGGAGUGGGGAAUAUGGCACGAUGGGCGCAAGCCUGAUGCAGCAAUGCCGCGUGUAUGAAGAAGGCCUUAGGGUUGUAAAGUACGUUCAGCGGGGAGGUGUUACCCGUAGAAGAAGCACCGGCUAACUCCGUGCCAGCAGCCGCGGUAAUUC